CUUCUGCUCAAGCUACUGCACCAAGAAAAGAACAACCCUACGAUUAGAGCAGAGUGCUGCAGAGGCUUGGCAAUGCUACACGUCAGAUGUCUGGACUCGUUCUUCUCCAUGCCGAGUACAAAAUAAAGACACAGAAAGAAUUGGUGCUGAGUCUACGUGCUGAGUUGAGGAAACGCCUCCCCG